AGAAAAAUCAGAGUCUUCGGACGAUACCAUGAGCCAAUCUAUGCCUCAGACUAUGGUCUGCACCGGUGAAUUACAGCUGUGGAAUCUCUGUACAAUUUGUAUCUGAUCCUCGAAUGAAUGUAAGCUGCAAGCUCUUCUACCUUUAUGACAGCCCUGAAACAUUAUAUGUGAGAUCCUGAGCUUUCUCAAAAGGCAAAGCUGAUCUCUCCAGAUGAGGAACUUGAGGCCCUGGGAAAUGAAGUGUCGUGUCCAAGUUUACACAGUGACGGAACCUGAAUCAGAAGUUCCCAGGCCUUUGCAUUCUGGCUACAGAGAACAUACCACCAGCUAUUGACCACUGGUUUAAGACACCUGCUUGUGAAAGAUUUUCUUCAUCAGGCCAUUCCAUUAAUAUCAAGCCAUCUGCUUCUGGGUGACAGGAGAGUCAUAAAUGCUAAAGGUAAGAGUCCUUUGCCACACAUCCUUUGCCACCAAAUAAGUGCUUUUGUGAGAUACCAUGUCAAUGGAUAAGGCAUCUGUAGGUCCACAAAUAGGAAUGCCAGCAGAAGAAUUCUGAUAAAAUAAAGCAAAAUUGUAUCUGAGAUACACAUUUAUGCCUGUGAGGACAAAUCACUGUCUACUCUGUGCUUUAUUAAAGACCAUGGCUGCUGAAAAGCUGGGCAAUCAACAGUGGCUCUGGCCAAAUAAGCUUCGGGGAUAAGAAAUCCAUAAUAAGCCUCCAUCUUUGCCUCUAUUUCCACUUUCUACAUGGGCUCAUUGAAUAAGCACCAAUGUUGCCAAAAAAAGGAGAGUGACU